rnacentral:rRNA from 1 species
CCUACGGGUGGCAGCAGUGAGGAAUAUUGGUCAAUGGGCGAGAGCCUGAACCAGCCAAGUCGCGUGAGGGAGUACUGCCCUAUGGGUUGUAAACCUCUUUUGUCGGGGAGCAAAAGCCGGACGUGUCCGGCUGUGAGAGUACCCGAAGAAAAAGCAUCGGCUAACUCCGUGCCAGCAGCCGCGGUAAUACGGAGGAUGCGAGCGUUAUCCGGCUUUAUUGGGUUUAAAGGGUGCGCAGGCGGAUUUUUAAGUCAGCGGUAAAAUCGUGGGGCUCAACCCCAUCCAGCCGUUGAAACUGGGGAUCUAGAGUGUGCGAGAGGUAUGCGGAAUGCGUGGUGUAGCGGUGAAAUGCAUAGAUAUCACGCAGAACCCCGAUUGCGAAGGCAGCAUACCGGUGCACAACUGACGCUCAGGCACGAAAGCGUGGGUAUCGAACAGGAUUAGAUACCCCUGUAGUC